rnacentral:rRNA from 1 species
UGGGGAAUUUUGCGCAAUGGGGGAAACCCUGACGCAGCAACGCCGCGUGGAGGAUGAAGUCUCUUGGGACGUAAACUCCUUUCGAUCGGGACGAUAAUGACGGUACCGGAAGAAGAAGCCCCGGCUAACUUCGUGCCAGCAGCCGCGGUAAUACGAGGGGGGCGAGCGUUGUUCGGAAUUAUUGGGCGUAAAGGGUGCGUAGGCGGUUCGGUAAGUCUUGUGUGAAAUCUUCGGGCUCAACUCGAAGUCUGCACGAGAAACUGCCGGGCUUGAGUGUGGGAGAGGUGAGUGGAAUUUCCGGUGUAGCGGUGAAAUGCGUAGAUAUCGGAAGGAACACCUGUGGCGAAAGCGGCUCACUGGACCACAACUGACGCUGAGGCACGAAAGCUAGGGGAGCAAACAGGAUUAGAUACCCUGGUAGUCCUAGCCCUAAACGAUGAUCGCUUGGUGUGACGGGUACCCAAUCCCGCCGUGCCGAAGCUAACGCGUUAAGCGAUCCGCCUGGGGAGUACGGUCGCAAGGCUG